ACCUCUGGACCCUCAAGGUUCCCCCCCUCUGCAGCUCUGCUCCACUCCUGAACAGCAGUGAACCCACUCGUGACCAGUCAAGCCCCCUCUUGGAUCUGAUCAAACUGUGUACAUUUAUUGAACCCCCUCGUGACCAGUCAAGUCCCCUCCUGGAUCUGAUCAAACUUUGUACAUUUAUUGUAAAUAAAUCUUUGAACUUUU